UUUUGAGGAACCUCCAUACUGUUUUCCAGAGUGGCUGCACCAGCUUGCAUUCCCACCUGCAGUGGAGACAUGCCAUUUCUUUCACCAGAGUCUCAGCAGGCUGGAAGGUCAACGAAUGUACCGAGCAUUUGGGAACCAAAAUUGCAUAUAGAGAGGUCAGAGCGAUGCUGUGUCCACACAUACUGGGCCAUGCUCAUUGAGGCGCAGAGCUCCUGAACCCUUGGAAUUCCCUGGGUGAUAAGAGCAAUGGGAGCAUCUUUUGUCAUAAUAUUUGGUCUCUUGUCCUCAGUUCCUGAAAUCACUUCAGAGCCAUAAAGGUGAGAUGGAUAUCUUGUUUUUCAUAACAAGCCCCUUUCUGCCCAAAUUGGGUUUGUGUUAAUGAGGUGACUUUUGGAAAUUCCUUAAGGAUGGAGCUGGUUAGCAGGGAACCAACUAUGAAUAAAGGGUUGGAACUGUCAGUCCCAAGCCUUGGGCUGGAUUUGUCCCAUAGCAGUCUGCUGACCUUCGCCCUCCACCUUUCCUCAGGUCCAUCAUUCCCUUUUCUCACUUGUAACUAUUUUCUUUUUCCUCAACUCACCUAUUCUCCAUUUCAACCCUAGUCUUAUUGAUCUCAUAUACUGAAAUAUCUCCCUUGUGUACUUCUUCUGGCCAAUUCCCACUACCACCAUUUUCAUAAACCUUGUCUGGAAUAGCUUCUUUGACCUCAUAUCCAGUGAAUCCUGAGUCAUUCUUCAAGACUCCAUCACAGGGCCACCUUCUCCAGGAAGGCUUUCUUUCCUUUGCUAGUCUUGACCUCUCUUUCUUCUGUGCUCAGGACCACUGUACCUCACUUGCAUUCCUGUCAUUAUUGAACUUAUUGGGCCCUACAUAUUUUCUGGUUUUUGAGCCUUGUUUUAUUCAUUUUUGUAUCUUCCAUGCAGUGUCCUGAUGUGGAAAUGUUGGGGUUUGGAGCCAAUGGUCAAUAAAAAAUUUGUGAGAUGUCUUAGGGGCAAAAACGUGGUUUUAUUAAAGUGGGGGACAGGACCUAGGGGCACAAAGAGCUGCCUCAGGAUUGUGAAGAGUGACUGAUUAUAUACUUGGGAGUUGGGGGAGGUAAAGUCAAGAGGAAGUUUCCAAUGGGAUUUUCAUAUGC